rnacentral:rRNA from 1 species
GAUGAACGCUGGCGGCGUGCCUAAUACAUGCAAGUCGAACGCAUUGAGAGAAGUGCUUGCACUUUUCAAUUUGAGUGGCGAACGGGUGAGUAACACGUGGGCAACCUACCUGAUAGCAGGGGAUAACGAGUGGAAACAUUCGCUAAUACCGCAUAACAAUAGAGAAGGCAUCUUCUUUAUUUAAAAGGCGCUUUCAAGCGUCACUAUCAGGUGGGCCCGCGGUGCAUUAGUUAGUUGGUGGGGUGAAGGCCUACCAAGACGAUGAUGCAUAGCCGGGUUGAGAGACUGAUCGGCCACAUUGGGACUGAGACACGGCCCAAACUACUACGGGAGGCUGCAGUAGGGAAUCUUCCACAAUGGACGAAAGUCUGAUGGAGCAACGCCGCGUGUGUGAUGAAGGCUUUCGGGUCGUAAAGCACUGUUGUAUGGGAAGAAAUGCUAGGCUAGGAAAUGAGCUUAGUUUGACGGUACCAUACCAGAAAGGGACGGCUAAAUACGUGCCAGCCGCCGCGGUAA